CAAUGGGAGGCGGCACCGCCCCUGCGCGCCGCGGAGCGGGCCAGGGGCCGGAGCGGGCCGAGCCGCCGCGCCCGCUCCAUGGAGGCCGCGGCCGAGGCCCCGGGGGCGCCCGCGGCGCUCAGCUGCUUCUCCUACAACCAGGACUGCACCUCCCUGGCAAUUGGAACCACAACUGGAUACAGGCUUUUCUCUUUAAGCUCUGUGGAACAACUGGACCAGGUCCAUGAAAGCAAUGAAAUCCCAGAUGUUUACAUCGUGGAGCGUCUGUUCUCCAGCAGCCUUGUGGUUGUGGUCAGUCAUGCCAAGCCACAGCAAAUGAAUGUGUACCACUUCAAGAAAGGGACAGAGAUCUGCAACUACAGCUAUUCCAGUAACAUACUGUCCAUCCGGCUGAACCGUCAGAGGCUGGUGGUUUGCCUGGAAGAGUCAAUUUACAUCCACAACAUUAAGGAUAUGAAGCUUUUGAAGACUAUUCUGGAUACACCUCCAAAUACAACAGGUCUGUGUGCUCUCUCCAUCAACCACGCCAACUCCUACUUGGCUUAUCCCGGCAGCGCGACCAGCGGAGAGAUCGCGCUUUACGACGGAAAUAGUUUGAAAACAGCCUGCACCAUUCCUGCCCAUGAUGGGCCUCUGGCUGCUCUCGCCUUCAACUCCACUGGCUCGAAGCUGGCAAGUGCCUCUGAGAAAGGCACAGUCAUUCGUGUGUUUUCCAUUCCUGGGGGGCAAAAGCUCUAUGAAUUCCGGCGAGGGAUGAAAAGGUAUGUGAACAUCAGCUCUCUGGUGUUCAGCAUGGAUUCCCAGUUCCUCUGUGCUUCCAGCAACACGGAGACCGUGCACAUCUUUAAACUGGAGCAUCUCACUGACAGCCGGCCAGAAGAGCCUCCAACCUGGAGCGGUUACAUGGGAAAGAUGUUCCAGGCUGCCACCAACUACCUCCCUGCUCAGGUAUCGGGCAUGAUGAACCAGGAUCGAGCCUUUGCCACUGUCCGCCUGAACGUCUCCGGACAAAGGAACAUCUGUGCCCUCUCCACGAUUCAGAAGCUGCCUCGACUGUUGGUGACUACGUCAGAUGGACAUCUCUGUAUCUAUAACCUGGACCCACAAGAUGGAGGGGAGUGUGUCUUAAUUAAGAAACACAGUCUCCUUGGCUCAGGAAAGAGGGAGGAGAACAAAGAAAACGACCUUCAGCCUCCGUUACCUCAAUCUUAUGCAGCAACUGUAGCCAGACAAAGUACAGUGCCUUCAACUUCAACUGUGCCAGGUUAUUCAGAGGACGGCGGUGCCCUGCGAGGAGAGGUUAUCCCAGAGCAUGAGUUUGCGACUGGACCAGUGUGUCUUGAUGACGAGAAUGAGUUUCCUCCUGUGAGCAUUCGGAACCCUUAAAACUGCAAUUCAUGCUAAGAAGAAUUAACCUCUUACAGAAGAGAUACCUUGUCCCAGCUCACUGUGAAGCCUAAAAUAACUAAUGAAGUUAUAGGGACAGUGCCAGGAAAAUUACACCCCACUAAAUGGCAGCUGGGGAUGGGGCAGAGAUGAUUAAACCUAAUAACUAGAGAUGGAUCUGAACGAACUCAUUGAAUGAAGUGCAGAUGCAGAAUGAAGUUCAGAUCCAGAUCUAACCUUUGUGCCUUGUGCAGAUUUCCAGGAUUACCAGGAGUAGCUUUCAUUUGAGCAAUACCAUCCUUUAGAAAUAAAAACUUAAUACUCCCUGUUGCAUUCACAGUCAGUUGGGUUAGUUUAUGGAAUGCAACUGGAAGAACAUACCUGAACCUCACCAGUCUCUGCAUGUCCGAGCUAACUGAAAAAGAAACUCCUUUUCCAAGGACAAUGGUGAAAGGCCUAACAGAGUUUUAAACUCCUUUAUGAUUUUUAUAUGGCACUUUCUUAGUUACCAUUGAGACAAGAUACUGGCUUUUAAAAAUCUAACUUAAGCCUGGCAGUGUCUUUCCAGUUCCUUUUCCUCGUUGUGUUAAGUAUUGAACCCCUGUUGGUACCGUGCUAUGAUCUGGUUGUAAUCAGUGGUGUCUUCAUACUAGUAAUGCAUUAAUACAGCAGAAUACUGUAAUGGAUUUCAAGUUGUAGACUUGGCAGAGUUUUGAAUCCCUUUUACUCUGUCUUUCCAUAUCCUGCUGGGGAGUUUUGCCUAAAAAGGAGGAAGUAAAAACUUUAUCAGGAUCCCAGGAUUUGUUCCAUAGGCUGAGGCUGACCUCUGUGAGGCACUUUGCUGUUAACUGAUGCAAAGUGUAACUUAGAUAAAAAGUGAAUCCCUUUGAAACAGCACUAUCUAAAUCCAAGGUUAAGUUUCUUAACCUUAGACCAGUUCUCUGUUGUAACCUGUAACAUAACCUGCUGCAAACUGAGAACAGGAGUUUUCUAGUUGUCCAACUCCAUUACCCAAGAAGGGUAUAUAAAAUGUCUCCCCCUUCUUGUUCCUUCUUCCUCCUCCUUGUUUUCUCCUUGUCUCCUCCUUCCUUGUUGUGGAGGAGAAGGUGGUGGCCCAGGCCCCUGGAAGGAGCAGCAGGGCCAGAGAGAAAUCCUUUGCUUCCUUCUGAUAAACCUGCUCUUGACCAGGUGGUUUAGGGACACACAAGUGCCAGCACGCAGGAAUCACGCUGCUCCUGAAUGAGCCUCCCUGCUGGGGUUAAGCUGUAUAAAAGCAGCCCCAAACCCCUGCUGUGCAACAGCAGGUACUUUCUAAACGAACUUUGAUCUCUCAGAGCCCCGUGCUGUAGUGAACCUGAGCGAGCAGCUCAGAUCCGCAGUGCUGGGGAGGAGAUGGUGUGGGAGGGAAGGCGCUUUCCAGAAAUACUCCGUGAGCUGGUGACUUAGCAAUUGGAGCUUCCCGAUGAAGCCUCUGCAGCCGGGACUCGGGCUUUGCCCCUCUCUUGCUGACGAUAAUCUUGUGCCGUGGAGGUCAGCCGGGCAAAGCGAAGAGGUCAUGAUGAGAAGCAAACAUCCGCGCUUAGGACAGCUGAUGGGAAGCGCGUUGGAAAAGCCGGGAAUGUGGAGGAACAGAUUUGGGAGUCCCCAAGACGAGAACAAAUAAGUAAAACCCAAGGUGGGCCACUGCUUUUUUCCUAUAGUAAGUGAAUACCUGGCCCCUGGUUUCAGUUCCUGUCUGGGGGGGUGUCUCUGUACUGUAUGCACAUCGCUAUAUUUAACAAACCAUAUGUUAGAGCCACAGUGUAAAUGCUAAUUUAAUCAGAUUUGUACGUAACCAGGAUUUUAUAUACCCAUUUGUCCCUUUUCUAAUUUAUGCUGGUUUAUGUGUAUAAAUGUACUUAGAGGAAGAUAUAUUGAACUUAUGUCUUUGUACAGUAUAUACAUACUAUUUUACCCAGGCAAAGUAUUUUUGCAGUGACAUUAGAGAUGCCAUUUGCUAUGUUGAAAGACAGAAUAAAGUCACGCUCUGUCCCUUGCA